rnacentral:rRNA from 1 species
CCCUUAGAUGUUCUGGGCUGCACGCGCGCUACACUGAUGCGUUCAACGAGCAUAUUUUAACCUUGCCCGAUAGGGUUGGGUAAUCUUCUGAAAACGCAUCGUGAUGGGGAUAGAUUAUUGUAAUUAUUAAUCUUCAACGAGGAAUUCCUAGUAAUGGUGAAUCAUCAGUUCAUCGUGAUUACGUCCCUGCCCUUUGUACACACCGCCCGUCGCUGCCUCCGAUUGAGUGAUCCGGUGAAUAAUUCGGACUGGUGCUUUGUUUGGUUCGCCGAACUUAGUACCGGGAAGUCUAGUAAACCUUAUCACUUAGAGGAAGCAAAAGUCGUANCA